UUGACCUUUUCGCUCAGCUCGGGAAAGCAGAGAAGAGUCGGCGUUUGCGGCCCGUCGUGCCGUGAUUGCCGCCAUUAGUAUGCGCCAAGACGAGGAGGCGGGUCAUUAGCGCUAAUUUAUGCAGAAAAGUGACAGGCCACAAAACAGUGAGGGUUCAAGGGUCAGCCAAGCACCCUCCUACCUGUCCCAACGCAUUACGGCAAGGCGGGGGGGAAAUGGCCACUUUUUGCUGCAGCAAAAACAAUCUAUAAAAUGGUGUCACUUUCAAGUUACGUAUUUUUCCUUGGACUUGCAAACCAAAAUCAAGCAAAAUUGAGCUUAUUCAUUCUAGUCUGGCUGGGCAAGUAUCGACGUAUCGGGCUGAUCACGGCCUUAUUUGAAGAUAUCGGGUAGUCACGAAGGCUGCCGAUACCAGCAACUGAUACUCGAGCUGAUUUUCUAUUUUACGCUUCACACUUAUUUUAUUUGAGUAAAGAGAAGUUCUACUGAGCUAUGAAGUGAAGAAGCUUGCUCGGAUGAGAUGUGAAACAACACACCGUGUUUAUUUUUGUAAUGUUCGCCGGUUGCUAAUAGCGAUCGCAACGUUGUUACAGCGCUCAGCGGUCGGGGCGCUUCCCUUUGCUUCAAGGCCUUGUCGUUUGAUCGAUAUCUCCGCCUGAGUUUCAUCCCCAGAGCCCUUAAUGGCAGAACCCUCUCGAGCGAGCGUAAUGCUAUCCGAGGAUCCGACGAGAACUGCGGGGGGGAGGGGCCUGGCGGUGGCGCUGGACUUUGCACGCUCAUGCGCUCACGUGCAAUAAAUCCUAAUGUCGAGCAGAAAGAGGAGCCCGUCUAAGAACUUGAAAUAACUCAACUGCGGCUGUCCCAUUUGCACGUUUUUUUCCCGGUCCCAAUGACAGCUCCCGUAGAAGCGAGGCAGAGCUCCCUGCCGGAGAGAGGACGUUCGGAGCCGCCGCCGCCGCCGCCAUCCACUUUCUGGUGUCUGGAUCGGCAAAAGAGGCACCAAGUAAUGGCUUCCUUAUGGCCGCAAGAGUGAUGGGCUGACAGAAGUCGCCCCUGAGGGUAAAAUCGUGGCAACUCGGAAGCUCGCACCUCAGGUCAAAUGAGACAAGCGGAAGGCAAACUUACUUGAGAACAAAGCAGCAUAACGAGCUCCACCACCGACGUGCUUGACUUCAUGCACACCAGACCUGCAAAG